AUGCCGCCUGACAAGACAUUCAAUAACGAGGUUCAGAACAUUAUGGCGCUCAAACACGAAAACGUAGUUGAGUUGGUUGGAUUCUGCUGGGAAACACAGAAGAAACUGGUGCAGUUCGAUGGAAGGUAUAUUCAGGCAGACAUCACUGAAAGUGUACUCUGCUAUGAGUAUUUACCUAAUGGGAGCCUUCAACAGAAUCUUUUCGGAACAAAAACAGUUGAGGCUGUCUCUUCAGCUGAACCUGUUAUCGAUUGGGCCACACGAUUCAAGAUAAUCAAGGGAAUUUGCCAGGGUUUACUAUUUCUACACAAGUUGGAUAUUCCCAUCAUCCAUAUGGAUCUCAAGCCUGAAAAUAUAUUGUUAGAUGAAAAUAUGGUUCCAAAGAUUGCUGAUUUUGGACUCUCGAGGGUCUUUGGCCAAGAACAAACCCGAUUGUACACACAAACAGUUGUGGGAUCAUAUGGGUACAUGGCUCCAGAAUAUCUAUACAGAGGUGAAAUUUCGGCCCAGUCAGACAUAUAUAGUUUAGGCUUAUUAAUACUCGAGAUCAGUACCGGAGAGCAAAACUGCAAAGACAAAAACCAACCCUCAGCAAGAAACUUUAUUGAUAAAGUACGCAAAGAUUGGACACUGGAGCACAUAGCAUCGAAGUAUGCAUCCUUAGAUACAGAUGGCCUCCAUCAAGUUAAAAUAUGCAUUGAACUUGGGCUAAAAUGUGCUGAGAUUGAUCGGCGAGUCAGGCCUCCCAUAGAAGAAAUUGUUGACACGCUCAACGGACUACGUGCAAACGAAAUGGCAAACGAGGUCCCUCAUGCAUCUCCAGUUAGCAAGAAGAUGGGUUUUCUAGGUGGUUUCAAGAAGAAAUAA
rnacentral:rRNA from 1 species